CCACCUUUGACAUGGCAGGAAGGCUCCAGAGAUGGGGCUGUGCUCGAAAGAGAACCUGCACACAGGUGCUGCAUGGCUGUCGUCAGCUCGUGUCGUGAGAUGUUGGGUUAAGUCCCGCAACGAGCGCAACCCUUGCCAUUAGUUGCUACGAAAGGGCACUCUAAUGGGACUGCCGGUGUCAAGCCGGAGGAAGGUGGGGAUGACGUCAAGUCCUCAUGGCCCUUAUAGGUGGGGCUACACACGUCAUACAAUGGCCGGUACAAAGGGUAGCCAACCCGCGAGGGGGAGCCAAUCCCAUAAAGCCGGUCGUAGUCCGGAUCGCAGUCUGCAACUCGACUGCGUGAAGUCGGAAUCGCUAGUAAUCGUGGAUCAGCAUGUCACGGUGAAUACGUUCCC
rnacentral:rRNA from 1 species